GACGAACGCUGGCGGCGUGCUUAACACAUGCAAGUCGAACGGUAAGGCCCUGCUUUUGUGCGGUGUUCGAGUGGCGCACGGGUGAGUAACACGUGAGUAACCUGCCCUUGACUUUGGGAUAACUCCUGGAAACUGGGGCUAAUACAGGAUAUGAGCUCCUUCUGCAUGGUGGGGGUUGGUAAGUUUCGGCGGUUGGGCAUGGAAUCGUGGUCUCUCAGCUUGUUGGUGGGGUAGUGGAUUACCAAGGCUUUGACGGGUAGCCGGCCUGAGAGGGUGACCGGCCACAAUGGGACUGAGGUAGGGCCCAGACGCCUACGGGAGGCAGCGGUGAGAAAUAUUGCACAAUGGGCGGAAGCCGGAUGCAGCAACGCCGGGUGCGGGAUGACGGCCUUCAGGGUGUAAACCGCGUUCGACUGGGACGAAGCGUGAGUGACGGUAAUGGGUAAAGAAGCAACGGCUAACUACGUG
rnacentral:rRNA from 1 species